rnacentral:rRNA from 1 species
UUUGAUCAUGGCUCAGGAUGAACGCUGGCGGCGUGUCUAAGGCAUGCAAGUCGAGCGGCGCGGUUCCCGCAAGGGAGCAAGCGAGCGGCAAACGGGUGAGUAACACAUUGGAACCUACCUCCGAGACGGGGAUAGCCCGCCGAAAGGCGGAUUAAUACCCGAUGGUCUUAUGCGCAAGCAUAAGUAAAUCAUUUUUGGCUCGGAGAGGGGCCUAUGUCUGAUUAGCUAGUUGGUGGGGUAAUGGCCUACCAAGGCGAUGAUCAGUAGCAGGCGUGAGAGCGCGACCUGCCUCACUGGGACUGAGAAACUGCCCAGACACCUACGGGUGGCUGCAGUCAAGAAUCUUCCUCAAUGGGCGAAAGCCUGAAGGAGCGACGCCGCGUGCAGGAUGAAGGUUUUCGGAUCGUAAACUGCUUUUCUCAGGGACGAAUUCGUGACGGUACCUAGAGGAAUAAGAGGGCUCUGCGUAGGAGCCUGCAGCCGCGGUAAUACGUAGGAUCCAAGCGUUAUCCUGAAUUAUUGGGCGUAAAGCGUCCGCAGGUGGUUUAGCGGGUUAAAGGUUAAAUCCCCACGCUCAACGUGGGAACCGCCUUUAAAACUACUAAGCUAGAGAUCGGAACAGGUAAGCGGAAUUAGCGGUGUAACAGUGAAAUGCGUAGAUAUCGCUAGGAACACCAAUGGCGAAGGCAGCUUACUAGAACGUACCUGACACUGAGACACGAAAGCGUGGGGAGCGAACGGGAUUAGAUACCCCGGUAGUCCACGCCGUAAACGAUGAUCACUAGCUGUGUGCGGAUCGACCCCGCACGUAGCGAAGCUAACGCGUUAAGUGAUCCGCCUGGGAGUACGAUCUCAAGAUUAAAACUCAAAGGAAUUGACGGGGACCCUCACAAGCGGUGGAACGAGUGGUUUAAUUCGUCUCUAAGCGAAAAACCUUACCGAGGCUUGACAUCUCCGGAAUCUCCUAGAAAUAGGAGAGUGCCCGAAAGGGAGCCGGAUGACAGGUGCUGCAUGGCUGUCGUCAGCUCGUGUUGUGAAAUGUUCGGUUAAGUCCGUUAACGAGCGUAACCCUUGCCGUAUGUUAUAUUUUUCAUACGGGACUAUCCUGGUCAACAGGGAGGAAGGUGGGGAUGACGUCAAGUCAGCAUGGCUCUUACGCCUCGGGCUACACACGCGUUACAAUGGCCAGUACAAUGGGUUGCCAACUCGCAAGAGGGAGCUAAUCCCAUCAAAACUGGUCCCAGUUCGGAUUGGAGGCUGCAACUCGCCUCCAUGAAGUCGGAAUCGCUAGUAACCGUGAAUCAGCACGUCACGGUGAAUACGUUCCCGGGUCUUGUACACACCG